CUCCUUAUUUCCCCAGUAUCAGCAGCCCUUGUCAUCUCAUCUAGGACUGCGGGCGAAGUGAUGAGAUCUUCUAAGGGCUGUUUGUAUCGGACAAUCUCCAGACACUUUACAGACAUAAUGAGCUAUGUAACUUCCAGUAACUACGGUUAUCACGGACGUUAUCUGACUUUAUAGGAGGGGAAAUUCUGUGCUGCAUGGGGAGGCAAUGUUGGGAAAUGCUCCGUGCAAGGAGCAGGGCCUGGGCAAGCUGCACCCCUUAGCAUGGCAGUGACCCCUCAGAGCACAGGGAGAAGGUUUUAAACAGGAUUUGGAAUGGGGAACACCACCAGAGUCAUGCACUGCUGAUAAACAUCCACUAAGGUAGCUCGGUAUGGAUUUGGAGAGAAACUGUUCCUGUUAGAGCCGUGGAUCGAGCCCCUCAGGUGCCUCCUGCCCUGGAAGCGAUGCCCAUCUUGCCUGACCCAUCCAAACCCGAGUCCUGGGUCCUCUGCACUUCACCUCAUUCAAACUCCAGAUCCUCCUGGCGCCUACCUUAGCACUGCCCUCCACUUCCUGUAGUCACCAGGAAAGCACCACGAUUAGAUAAUCGUUACAAGGCACCGAGGCAAUGCCGUAAUUUUCCUGAUACUCUGGAACUCGUGAGCGUGACUCCUCAGCAGCUUGAGGCUGCGUGAUUCAGCCACUCAUGGCUGGCUUCUCGAAUAGCAGGAAUAGCAGCCAUUCCCUGCACA